UAGUACAUUGGUAAUAUCCAUACAUUGAUGCAUUGUUUACAGACAUGUGGAUAGAUUUGAAAUUCUAUGAGGAUAAAAGUUCAUUGCCAACUUCGAAUCUUGAGCUUCACUUGACGUUCCUCACUGAUAUAGUAUUUUUUUUUAUUUAAUUGAUUGUCAGUGUUUCGUCGUUUCGCUGUUAAUUGAAAGGAUGAGAAGAAUUUAUGCAAAGAGUAUUAUUUUAUAAUCUCUUUGAAAACUUACUAUUCAUAAUCCGUAGUUUUACGUCUCAUAUUAGAUUGAUAUAAUGAACAAAGGUAG